AGAGUUUGAUUAUGGCUCAGGAUGAACGCUGGCGGUGUGCCUAAUACAUGCAAGUCGAUCGGGCGUAGCAAUACGUCAGAGGCGUACGGGUGAGUAACACGUAGGUAACCUACCUUUAAGACUGGGAUACCCAGACGAAAGUUUGGCUAAUACCGGAUAACAACAUUUGAGACAUCUCUUUUGUUUGAAAGGCGCUGCAAGGCGCCACUUUUAGAUGGACCUGCGUCGCAUUAGCUAGUUGGUGAGAUAAAAGCCCACCAAGGCUGGGAUGCGUAGCCGAUCUGAGAGGAUGACCGGCCACAAUGGGACUGAGACACGGCCCAUACUCCUACGGGAGGCAGCAGUAGGGAGUUUUCGGCAAUGGGGGAAACCCUGACCGAGCAACACCGCGUGAGUGAUGAAGGGGUCUUCGGAUCGUAAAGCUCUGUUACGAGGGACGAAUGAUCGCUUUAGGAAAUGAGAGCGGUUUGACGGUACCUCGCCAGAAAGCGACGGCUAACUACGUGCCAGCAGCAGC
rnacentral:rRNA from 1 species